rnacentral:rRNA from 1 species
UACGGAGGGUGCAAGCGUUAAUCGGAAUUACUGGGCGUAAAGCGUGCGCAGGCGGUUCGUUAAGUCUGUUGUGAAAUCCCCGAGCUCAACUUGGGAAUUGCAAUGGAUACUGGCAGGCUGGAGUAUGGUAGAGGAAGGUGGAAUUCCCGGUGUAGCAGUGAAAUGCGUAGAGAUCGGGAGGAACACCAGUGGCGAAGGCGGCUUUCUGGCCUGUUCUUGACGCUGAGGCGCGAAAGCUAGGGGAGCAAACGGG